UACAGAGGUCUCAAGCGUUGUUCGGAUUCAUUGGGCGUAAAGGGUGCGUAGGUGGCGCUGUAAGUCGGGUGUGAAAUUUCGGAGCUUAACUCCGAAACUGCACUUGAUACUGCCUUGCUCGAGUACUGGAGAGGAGAUUGGAAUUUACGGUGUAGCAGUGAAAUGCGUAGAUAUCGUAAGGAAGACCAGUGGCGAAGGCGAAUCUCUGGACAGUUACUGACACUGAGGCACGAAGGCCAGGGGAGCAAACGGG
rnacentral:rRNA from 1 species